rnacentral:rRNA from 1 species
GACAUAAGGUGCGAGCGUUAUCCGGAAUCACUGGGCGUAAAGGGCAUCUAGGCGGUUUAUUAAGUCAGGGGUGAAAAGCCGAAGCUCAACUUUGGUCUUGCCUUUGAAACUGAUAGACUAGAAUACGGGAUAGGAGGGCGGAACUACAAGUGUAGAGGUGAAAUUCGUAGAUAUUUGUAGGAAUGCCGAUGACGAAGGUAGCUCUCUGGACCGAUUUUGACGCUGAAGUGCGAAAGCUAGGGUAGCAAACAGG